AAUGAACGCUGGCGGCGUGCUUAACACAUGCAAGUCGAGCGAGGCCUGGGGGGCAACUCCCAGAGUCGAGCGGCGGACGGGUGAGUAACACGUGGGUAACCUGCCCGGAAGUGGGGAAUACCGUCGGGGAAACUCGAGCUAAUACCGCAUGACAUCUUUGGGACGAAAGUCCUGACGAUCAAAGCGGGGUCGCAAGAUCUCGCGCUACCGGAUGGGCCCGCGCCCGAUUAGCUAGUUGGNGAGGUAACGGCUCACCAAGGCUUCGAUCGGUAACCGGCCUGAGAGGGCGAUCGGUCACACCGGAACUGAGGACACGGUCCGGACUCCUACGGGAGGCAGCAGUGGGG
rnacentral:rRNA from 1 species